rnacentral:rRNA from 1 species
CGGAGGGUGCAAGCGUUAUCCGGAUUCACUGGGUUUAAAGGGUGCGUAGGUGGCUUUGUAAGUCAGUGGUGAAAUCUCGGAGCUUAACUCCGAAACUGCCAUUGAUACUGCUUAGCUUGAAUCAAGUAGAGGUGGAUGGAAUAUUACAUGUAGCGGUGAAAUGCUUAGAUAUGUAAUAGAACACCGAUUGCGAAGGCAGUUCACUAUGCUUGUAUUGACACUGAGGCACGAAAGCGUGGGGAUCAAACAGGAUUAGAUACCCUGGUAGUCCACGCCCUAAACGAUGUAAACUCGACAUCAGCGAUACACAGUUGGUGUCCAAGGGAAACCGUUAAGUUUACCACCUGGGAAGUACGACCGCAAGGUUG